AACAUAACACUUCACUAACUGGUACGAGGAAAUGUUAUGCUGUGAAGGGAAAGUAAACACUAUCUUGGACCAUACAAAAGAGAAGUAAAACUCAAUAUUUGAGAGCUCAAAACUAUUCAGGACCAUCGCAGAUGUCAGAAAAAGGGAAGGGAAAGAAAUGUGUUUUGAAGCUACUUGCUCUGUAAAGUUUUGGACGGACAAUGAAUAUCUCCUUUUGAUGUUCCAGGCAAAUUAUUAUUUGGCAUAAUACCUGAGUAAUUUUACAUAAUAACUGGGGUCCACUUCACACUUCAUCGACUAGCACCUGCAAAACAGUAGCCAUUUUCCAUUCCAUAACCAGCAACUGUUCAAAACCAGACAAGAAUGCAUCUAAAGGAACAACUUGGAAUUCUGGUGAUUAUUUUAGAAAUUUGAAAAGCAACGAGACAUGGUUUCGGAAGGAUUGCUGCUGGUCUAUCUAUCUAUCUAUCUAUAUGCAUAAAUCGAAGUGAAAACAUUAAUUAUAUUUUCGGUAUUGGUUGGUGUUCUGAAUUACAUGUUGCUGCUGUUGAAGGAGGAAUUGCCAUUUUAACUUGCAGUAAAUGCAAAGAGAACGCAGGAAGCUGGAGUGAGCUACAGAAUUCUGGUUUUACAGUUGAAUGGAGUGUAAAUACAAGCAGUGGAUUUUUGAAACUCACACAAACAGAGGUGUUCUUUGAAUCAAAUUCACUCAGAUUGCUGGGAGUUGCAUUAAACAACACUAGGGUGUAUAGGUGCGCUCUAAGGUAAGUGCAGAUGCUUGUGGUUACCGUUUAGGCCAAUGCUUUUUUUUUUUUAUAGUGCUCAGGAAGUGGACUUUAAGAUAUUUUUAAUUACCGAGGCAGUGAUGCUUUUUAAAACAGAUGUUGUUACGGUCACUUAAAGACCAGAGUAUGUCUUUAUUACAGUGUAUUAAAAAUAAUAAUAUUGUUUUACUUGUUAAUUAAAUUGAACACUCUAAUGUACAACAAUGAUGUAUUCUAUCAAUGUAUUAUUUUCUUGUGUAACACAGAAAUGCAACAGAUAUUGUUGAAUCCGGACACCUUGAGUUGGAAGUGUACAAAGGAAAGUGCUACAACAGAAAUGUUGAAUACUUAUGUUCCAGUUUUGUUGACCACUCCAUUAACCUCAUGUAUCCAGAGUUGGAACGGUUCUCUAGUACUAGCAUCGUGUAACAUGGGUGAAGUAUAGAACAUACAGAAAAGCAACAUCAUAAUUCAUUUUGGAUGAUAUCACCAUUAAUAUUUAAACAUCUUCAAGACGAACACCUCAAUCUGAAAUAUGACUGCAUACUUAGAAGCACUACAAAGGGUGGAAAUGGAUCAAUCGUUUUAAGAAAAAAAAAAAAAAGUAGGAUUCAGUCAGUUUAAUACUAUGCAAUAAGGAAUUGUUCAUAUUUUCAUUGAUUCUCUAUAACUACUGUAAAUGUCACACCUCUACGAAUGUAUACCAUACCGGCAGACAAACAAAACGAGGUUAAGCAUUUUAAUUAGAUUUUACUAAUGAGUUCUGGUGUAGAUUUAUUUUAUAUACAACUGCAUUGGAAUAGGUUACAACAGGAUAUCUGACCGAAAAUAUUUCACAUGUCUAAAUAUUUCACGUCACAUGUUUUUAUAGACUAAAUAAAUAAAUAAAUAAAUUGAUUGCUACCUUGUAGCUGGGCAUCGCUUACAUUCAAUUAAACACAACAAUGAAACUAUGUGCUCAAUUUCCAGUCCCCAGUUAUAAUGUCAACAUUUGUAUCGAAACAUUCAUAAGUGGAACGAGUAAACAAUUUAAAAACAUUUCUGUGGCGUCACCCUUUGAUCUUUUGAUUAAUUAAUUCUAUGAAUUAAAAGUGUCUGUGUGGCUCUGAAGAGAAGGGGAGUGCAGGGCAGAUAUUGUUGAUUAACUAAUGUACAGUUUGUGCACAAAUCCACAGAACAUUGUUGAUUAUUCAACGACAGUACAGUCAGAACAAUUCAACAGAAAAGCGAAUACCACUUUCAACAAAUAGUUAAUUACAGUUUUACACAUUACGAACAUAACACUUAGAAAGGGGCUUGUGAUUUCAGUUUAAUGUUUCAUAUUGCAAAUAAAAGUAAUACAAUAAUACAUUAACAAUGUAAAGACAAGUUUUCAGACUUACAAAUUCACAUCCACAUAAACACCCCCGUUUCUAAUUUUUAUUUGUAUCAGGAUCAGCAACAGCAAUUUCUUCAUCACUUAGUCUCAUGAACGUUAGCUGUAAAGUCAGCUUUUGCAUUUCUUCCAUUUAAUCAUUGUUCAAACAAGCUUACAGCCCACUUACAUUUUACCUGCGUACUUCUCGUAAACUGAUCGCUGGCAAUGAUAUUUAGUUCUUCAUCUAUUUUAGGUUUGGUAAAACCAUCAAUAACUUUACUCUCCAUUCCUGGUUCACAUUGUUUUUUUUUUUUUUUUUUUUUUUCUAAUGCUACGUAUAUGUUCUACAAGUAAAACUCAGUCCCACUACUAUCUUCACUUACAACAGAGACUUUUGACUAUGUGUGAUUUCAAACUCAAACUCUGAAGAACUCACAACAGCAUUCGCGCAAUGUGAGAGACAAACAUUUGAACGGUUUGAACUAGGCGUAACAAAGGAGCGAAAAUCAAGUCAUAUUACCAAAUGAACAAUCAAUUGAAUCUCGUUAUCGAAGUAUAAGAGCAGUUUAGUUUUUUAUAUUUAAACGCAUAUUAAGACUUUUUUAAAUAUUGUUGAGGAGUUGAAACAUCCAUGUAUUUAGACUAUAUACAUUUAUUGCUACAUAACUGAAUAUUGCUUAUAAGUAAAAGAAGAUUACACACCACUGGCAAUUCCAAAACUACUGUGUAAAACACAGCCUGACUAAUCUAUAAUGUGCAGUGUCUGACUUCCCCCUUUUUGUGUUUUGAAACUCUGCUUCUGUACAUUUUAGUAUAGGCUGUUGCACAGUACAAGCUGGUAUGACACAGCGAGAAAGCUCCCCUCGAGUAUUCAGAACCUUAUAUUGCAUCAUAUCAAACAGCAAUGGUUACUUAAUAACUUCAGGUCAAUUUGCGAGAUUGUUUAACAGUGUAUUGUGUUUGAAACCA